rnacentral:rRNA from 1 species
AGUAGGGAAUCUUCCGCAAUGGGCGAAAGCCUGACGGAGCAACGCCGCGUGAGUGAUGAAGGUCUUCGGAUCGUAAAACUCUGUUAUUAGGGAAGAACAAAUGUGUAAGUAACUAUGCACGUCUUGACGGUACCUAAUCAGAAAGCCACGGCUAACUACGUGCCAGCAGCCGCGGUAAUACGUAGGUGGCAAGCGUUAUCCGGAAUUAUUGGGCGUAAAGCGCGCGUAGGCGGUUUUUUAAGUCUGAUGUGAAAGCCCACGGCUCAACCGUGGAGGGUCAUUGGAAACUGGAAAACUUGAGUGCAGAAGAGGAAAGUGGAAUUCCAUGUGUAGCGGUGAAAUGCGCAGAGAUAUGGAGGAACACCAGUGGCGAAGGCGACUUUCUGGUCUGUAACUGACGCUGAUGUGCGAAAGCGUGGGGAUCAAACAGGAUUA